rnacentral:tRNA from 1 species
GGGUCCGUAGCUCAACGGCAGAGCAGUGGCCUUUUAAGCCAUCGGUUCAGGGUUCGAAUCCCUGCGGACCCACCA